CCACCACUAAGCCAGUGGUGAACUCCACAUACGCAUCCUUUGCUGAGGAUACGGUUAACGGAGCGAAAGCGACGUUCAACCUCAAAAGAAGCAGAGGGGGCUUAGUGGUGGGGUGACUGCGUACCUUUUGUAUAAUGGGUCAGCGACUUAUAUUCUGUAGCAAGGUUAACCGAAUAGGGGAGCCGGAGGGAAACCGAGUCUUAAUUGGGCGUUAAGUUGCAGGGUAUAGACCCGAAACCCGGUGAUCUAGCCAUGGGCAGGUUGAAGGUUGGGUAACACUAACUGGAGGACCGAACCGACUAAUGUUGAAAAAUUAGCGGAUGACCUGUGGCUGGGGGUGAAAGGCCAAUCAAACCGGGAGAUAGCUGGUUCUCCCCGAAAGCUAUUUAGGUAGCGCCUCGUGAAUUCAUCUCCGGGGGUAGAGCACUGUUUCGGCUAGGGGGUCAUCCCGACUUACCAACCCGAUGCAAACUGCGAAUACCGGAGAAUGUUAUCACGGGAGACACACGGCGGGUGCUAACGUCCGUCGUGAAGAGGGAAACAACCCAGACCGCCAGCUAAGGUCCCAAAGUCAUGGUUAAGUGGGAAACGAUGUGGGAAGGCCCAGACAGCCAGGAUGUUGGCUUAGAAGCAGCCAUCAUUUAAAGAAAGCGUAAUAGCUCACUGGUCGAGUCGGCCUGCGCGGAAGAUGUAACGGGGCUAAACCAUGCACCGAAGCUGCGGCAGCGACACUGUGUGUUGUUGGGUAGGGGAGCGUUCUGUAAGCCGUUGAAGGUGUGUCGUGAGGCAUGCUGGAGGUAUCAGAAGUGCGAAUGCUGACAUAAGUAACGAUAAUGCGGGUGAAAAACCCGCACGCCGGAAGACCAAGGGUUCCUGUCCAACGUUAAUCGGGGCAGGGUGAGUCGACCCCUAAGGCGAGGCCGAAAGGCGUAGUCGAUGGGAAACGGGUUAAUAUUCCCGUACUUGGUGUUACUGCGAAGGGGGGACGGAGAAGGCUAUGUUGGCCGGGCGACGGUUGUCCCGGUUUAAGCGUGUAGGUGUGUGUUCCAGGUAAAUCCGGUUCACUUUAACACUGAGGCGUGAUGACGAGGCACUACGGUACUGAAGCAACAAAUGCCCUGCUUCCAGGAAAAGCCUCUAAGCAUCAGGUAACAUCAAAUCGUACCCCAAACCGACACAGGUGGUCAGGUAGAGAAUACCAAGGCGCUUGAGAGAACUCGGGUGAAGGAACUAGGCAAAAUGGUGCCGUAACUUCGGGAGAAGGCACGCUGACAUGUAGGUGAAGUGAUUUACUCA
rnacentral:rRNA from 1 species